AGGACUUCACUACAACACAGGAGUUCAUUAGAAGAUGAAAUAAUUUGUGAUGAAAAAUAUCAAAAUAACUUUUAUUAAUUUAUAAUUUAUAUACUAAUACAAGAAAGAGCACAACCGUUAAUAGGCUGACAAUUGGCUGACAAUUUAUAUACUAAACCCAAUCAGUGCAGUAUCUAAUACCCAUCUUUGACUUGAGGUCGUUGGACUCCUUCACCGUAAUGGCUUUAGGGAAUGGGUCGGCC
rnacentral:lncRNA from 1 species